CAAUUUCACUAUUUCGUUUGUAUCUCGAAGAUCAACAAUCGCAUGCUGGGAAGUUUAGUCAGGUUGCCACUGACUGCGACGACAAUAACAAAAACACAGCCAUCACUGGAUUAGGUUGCAGAUUGGUAAUUAACUCUAGCAAUCAACAAUCUUUUGUACGUUCUUUAAUUGACACAAAACAAAGGGAGGUCAUCAGUUCCUCUGGGCCCAGGCUCAAACCAAUCCGAGAAUCUCCAUCAAGCCGUUUUAUGGAAGCCUAAAUCUGAAACAUCGGAAAUGAUCGGAAGAAUGAGUAAACUGGGCAAGUUUACUUGAACCAACACCUUUUACGUUCCUGGACGCUCAUGCUAACGACAGGAGCAGCCUCGAGCCGCUUCCCCGUUGUAUCUGCCUUUUACAAAACAUCACGUCUUUUGGAAGAAACCUCACGUGAACUCAAAGGUAGAGUUCCCACGUGUGUUGGAGCGAAUCAAACAACCGUCACUGGUAGAUUGAGCAGAUCCGCAGGAUGGAAGAUCGUCACAUGUCUGGGACCUUCUGCAUAGGGAAGUAGCAAGAGCCAGUGGGAUUUGCUACAUCUCUGAGGAUCAAGAGGACAAUAAUGGCUGAAGAAAUAGCGAGUGAAGUCCCCAGAGCUGAGCCACCAACUAUUUCAGCUUCGAAUUUUCUUGUAAACCUAUGCAGAAUACUCUUUGUUAGAACAUUCGUGAGUUGGAACACUUUGCACAUAAUUGUUUCCAGUCAUUAAA